GACAGAGGGUGCAAACGUUUGUUCGGAAUUACUGGGCGUAAAGCGUGUGUAGGCGGCUUGGCAAGUCGGAUGUGAAAGCCCCGGGCUCAACCCGGGAAGUGCACUCGAUACUGCCUCGCUAGAGUACCGGAGAGGUUGGUGGAAUUCUCGGUGUAGAGGUGAAAUUCGUAGAUAUCGAGAGGAACACCGGUGGCGAAGGCGGCCAACUGGACGGAUACUGACGCUGAGACACGAAAGCGUGGGGGAGCAAACAGG
rnacentral:rRNA from 1 species